rnacentral:rRNA from 1 species
AGCCGCGGUAAUACGAAGGGUGCAAGCGUUACUCGGAAUUACUGGGCGUAAAGGGCGCGUAGGCGGAUAGUUUAGUCAGAGGUGAAAGCCCAGGGCUCAACCUUGGAACUGCCUUUGAUACUGGCUAUCUUGAGUUCGGGAGAGGUGAGUGGAAUGCCGAGUGUAGAGGUGAAAUUCGUAGAUAUUCGGCGGAACACCAGUGGCGAAGGCGACUCACUGGCCCGAUACUGACGCUGAGGCACGAAAGCGUGGGGAGCAAACA